GAUGGAUCAGAUACUUGCUGCCUACAGGAAGUCCUCAAAGCAGUGGUCAUCCACUUUGAACAAGCUAGCUCAAGUGCGACAAAGAGGUCGAAGGCGUACAAUGGUUGGAUGAAACUUCAAGUUCACAUUAGAUGUUGAACUGAACAAUGAUAUGAUGUAGUUAGAGAUCCUAUCUACAUAUUGUAGUUUAUAUUCUUCUGCACACAUUUUGUAGCCUGAAAACAAUGACAUGGUAUUAGUACUAGUUUAGUAUUCUUCUUCCUCUAUCAACAUUAUUGUUCAUUAAGAAACUUUUUACAGUGUAUUUAACUAAUUUUUCUUUA